AUCGCUUCUCUGCCUUUUGGCUCAGAUCAAGUGUACUAUCUGUUCUUAUCACUUUAAUAUCUGAUACGUCCCCCAUCGGGGGACUACAUAUUAAAUGGAUUUUUCGAACAGGGAGUCCGAAAUGGGGCUUGCUCCAUCCGCUCCACGCAUCGACCCGGUAUUGCAGUACCUCCGGGAACGGUGCAACACUU
rnacentral:snRNA from 8 species